rnacentral:tRNA from 1 species
GGACGCGUAGCUCAAUUGGCAGAGCAUUCGACUCUUAAUCGACUGGUUGAAGGUUCGAUUCCUUCCGCGUCCACCA